UUCGCAAUGCCCGAAAGGGUGACGAAGCGACGCCGCGUGCGGGAAGAAGGCCUUCGGGUUGUAAACCGCUGUCGGGAGUUAGGAAAUGCAAGGAUGUUAAUAGCAUCUUUGCUUGACUAAGGCUCCGGAGGAAGCCACGGCUAACUCUGUGCCAGCAGCCGCGGUAAUACAGAGGCGGCAAGCGUUGUUCGGAAUUAUUGGGCGUAAAGAGCACGUAGGCGGCCGUGUAAGUCGGUUGUGAAAGCCUUCCGCUCAACGGGAGAACGGCAUCCGAUACUGCAUGGCUCGAGUGCGGGAGGGGAGAGUGGAACUUCUGGUGGAGCGGUGAAAUGCGUAGAUAUCAGAAGGAACGUCGGCGGCGAAAGCGACUCUCUGGCCUAUUACUGACACUGAGUGUGCGAAAGUUAGGGGAGCAAACGGGAUUAGAUACCCCGGUAGUCCUAACUGUAAACGAUGGGCACUAAGUAGAGGGGUUUU
rnacentral:rRNA from 1 species